rnacentral:rRNA from 1 species
GUCCACGCCCUAAACGAUGUCAACUGGUUGUUGGGUCUUCACUGACUCAGUAACGAAGCUAACGCGUGAAGUUGACCGCCUGGGGAGUACGGCCGCAAGGUUGAAACUCAAAAGGAAUUGACGGGGACCCGCACAAGCGGUGGAUGAUGUGGUUUAAUUCGAUGCAACGCGAAAAACCUUACCCACCUUUGACAUGUACGGAAGUUACCAGAGAUGGUUUCGUGCUCGAAAAGAGAGCCGUAAACACAGGUGCUGCAUGGCUGUCGU